GAUGAACGCUGGCGGCGUGCCUAAUACAUGCAAGUCGAGCGAACAGACGAUGAGCUUGCUCCUCUGACGUUAGCGGCGGACGGGUGAGUAACACGUGGAUAACCUACCUUUAAGACUGGGAUAACUUCGGGAAACCGGUGCUAAUACCGUAUAAUAUAUUGAACCGCAUGGUUCAAUAGUUAAAGACGGUUUUGCUGUCACUUAUAGAUGUAUCCGCGCCGCAUUAGCUAGUUGGUAAGGUAACGGCUUACCAAGGCAACGAUGCGUAGCCGACCUGAGAGGGUGAACGCCGACAGUGGAAGUGAGAGACGGUACAGACUCCUAGGGGAGGCAGAAGUAGGGAAUGUUGGGAAAAGGGCGAAAGCCUGAAGGAGCAACGCCGCGUGAGUGAUGAAGGUCUUCGGAUCGGAAAACUCUGUUAUGAGGGAAGAACAAAUGUGGAAGUAACUAUGCACGUCUUGACGGUACCUAAUGAGAAAGCAACGGCUAACUACGUG
rnacentral:rRNA from 1 species